rnacentral:rRNA from 1 species
UUGAAAGGGAAACGAUUGAAGUCAGUCAUGUUGGUAGGGAAUCAACUUGAUGGUUUGCGGGUUUACUCGUGUUCUUUCGAGUGCACUUCCUUACUUGCUAGUUAGCAUCAAUUUUGGUUAUCAUAUAAAAAUUGAGGGAAGGUGGCUUUUCUUCGGAAAAGUGUUAUAGACCUUGAUUAAUAUGGUGACCGGGAUUGAGGAUUGCAGCGGAUACCCUUUUGGGCUAGUCACCUGGCUUCUGAUGGUUACCCCGCCUUCGAUAGCUUGCUAACGUUGAUGGGAUUUAAUUAUCUAGAUGUUGGAGUGAUCAUAAAUUCGUUAAGGAUGUUGACGUA